ensembl:antisense
UCAGUUUGAAUGCAUGGGAGAGCCCAGAGCAGUGACGGGAACAGAGGGAAAGGCCUCGCCCCCCUGGGAAAGGCCGAUCAAACAGAGUGAGUGAGGCAGCAAGAAGGGAGCCCAAGCCCCCACCUCUGACAGUUCAAGCUACAAGCGUCUAAUCCUCCCUUACCUGUGGAGGAGAAGCUCCUAAGAUGCCCCACCCCCUUGCGCCUACAUUAAGAGCCUUGAGAUCAGAACAUGCUGGGGGAGACCCACCAAAGAGAACGCCCAGGGUGAGCCCCACGUCGGCCUGGGUGUACCCCAAGGUGAUCCUCUUCUGCUUCAGCAGCUUGGCAAACUGUUCUAGCUCCUUCUGCAGGGCUUUCAUGUCCUGGGACUGUAGUGAGAAAGGCAGACUUGUCA